rnacentral:rRNA from 1 species
AGCUAGUUGGUGAGGUAACGGCCCACCAAGGCGACGAUCGGUAGCCGGACUGAGAGGUUGAACGGCCACAUUGGGACUGAGACACGGCCCAGACUCCUACGGGAGGCAGCAGUGGGGAAUAUUGCACAAUGGGGGAAACCCUGAUGCAGCGACGCCGCGUGGAGGAAGAAGGUCUUCGGAUUGUAAACUCCUGUUGUUGGGGAAGAUAAUGACGGUACCCAACAAGGAAGUGACGGCUAACUACGUGCCAGCAGCCGCGGUAAAACGUAGGUCACAAGCGUUGUCCGGAAUUACUGGGUGUAAAGGGAGCGCAGGCGGGAAGACAAGUUGGAAGUGAAAUCCAUGGGCUCAACCCAUGAACUGCUUUCAAAACUGUUUUUCUUGAGUAGUGCAGAGGUAGGCGGAAUUCCCGGUGUAGCGGUGGAAUGCGUAGAUAUCGGGAGGAACACCAGUGGCGAAGGCGGCCUACUGGGCACCAACUGACGCUGAGGCUCGAAAGUGUGGGUAGCAAACAGGAUUAGAUACCCUGGUAGUCCACACCGUAAACGAUGAUUACUAGGUGUUGGAGGAUUGACCCCUUCAGUGCCGCAGUUAACACAAUAAGUAAUCCACCUGGGGAGUACGACCGCAAGGUUGAAACUCAAAGGAAUUGACGGGGGCCCGCACAAGCAGUGGAGUAUGUGGUUUAAUUCGACGCAACGCGAAGAACCUUACCAAGUCUUGACAUCCGUUGACCGCUGUAGAAAUACAGUUUUCCUUCGGGACAGCGAGACAGGUGGUGCAUGGUUGUCGUCAGCUCGUGUCGUGAGAUGUUGGGUUAAGUCCCGCAACGAGCGCAACCCUUAUGGUCAGUUACUACGCAAGAGGACUCUGGCCAGACUGCCGUUGACAAAACGGAGGAAGGUGGGGAUGACGUCAAAUCAUCAUGCCCUUUAUGACUUGGGCUACACACGUACUACAAUGGCGUUAAACAAAGAGAAGCAAGACCGCGAGGUGGAGCAAAACUCAGAAACAACGUCCCAGUUCGGACUGCAGGCUGCAACUCGCCUGCACGAAGUCGGAAUUGCUAGUAAUCGUGGAUCAGCAUGCCACGGUGAAUACGUUCCCGGGCCUUGUACACACCGCCCGUCACACCAUGAGAGCCGGGGGGACCCGAAGUCGGUAGUCUAACCGCAAGGAGGACGCCGCCGAAGGUAAAACUGGUGAUUGGGGUGAAGUCGUAACAAGGUAGCCGUAGGAGGACCUGCGGCUG